AUGGCGGCGGCGAAGAAGAAGGACGACGGUGAGCCUUUGGGCCUUGGGGCGUCAGCCGGCGGCGAGGGCGGUGCUCACUCCGAGGUCAACAAGGGGCUAGGCAGCGCAAGUUUCCCGACCCAGCGCUCGUCUGGGGCACCGACGCAGGAGGUCCAGAUCUCGCCGGCGUUCCGCGCGGCCAGGGCAGUGGCCAAAUGCAUCCACGCGGAUCCAGAAGGCAGGCACCAGUGGGCCUCCUCACUUGGUGGCGUGGAAAAUCUGAAUCUGUUCUUUCUUUUUUUGCAUAGUUUGGAUGAUGAAGUAUGGGAAUUGAGGGUGCAUUUUCAGGGUAGAGAUAACAUGGAAAGGAAGUUUUCCUUAUCAGAAAUGAAUUACCUGUUAUUGUUAGCACUAAUUGAACUUGAGGGCUAUGGGUUGGAUGCCUAUCUAUCAUAUGUUAAGGAUGAGGGUAAGGGGCUGAAGGGGAUUGAGGUUUUGGACAGUGAUGAGAAGGUGGAGGAGAUGCUAGAUUUGUUUGUUGUGAAGAAGGUAUUGAACAUAACAGUGAGAGAGGCUAGUGACCCAAAUCCAGCAGAUGCAAACAUGGACCACACCUUGCUUGAGGAGCAGAUUCCAAUGAGUCAAGUUGGUGAUCCCAUUGUUUAUAGUGUUUCCCAAGAAGGUGUCCUUUUCCCUGUCUCAAAUUCUUCAGAGCCUCCAGUUGUGCCUGUUCAAGCAUAUCUUAACACACAACAGAGCUGUAAUUUCAACAAGGGAAAAGCAGUGGGAAUUGAAAAUAUUGAAGCAGAAGAUGAAGAUGAAGAUGAGUUGGACAAAUCCUCAUCAGAUUUUGAGUUUUUCAGGGGUGAUUACAGAGGAAAAAUAAUUCAUACAAGUCUUGGGCUAGGGGAGAAGAUGAAGGUGGUGAAGGAACAAGUCAACACUACAGGGAAGAGGAAGAGAUGGCUGAGCAUUAUUUUGGGGCUGCUUAUGAACCCUCAGAGUUUUGGUGAUGAAGGCAUUUCUGAUGAAGAAGAUGAUGCACCUAGGUUGCCUUGUGGCAGGAAGAGAAAAUUAAAGAAGAAGGAGAGAGUAUGAGAAGCAUUGAGAAACUACCAUGUUAGGACACUGAGGAACUUUGAGUACCAUAGGAAUGAUCCAAGUAGGAUCAUAGCCUGGUGCUCAGAUAGAAAGCAUGGUUGUGACUUUUAUAUUACUGCUUCUAAGAUUGCCCAUGAGUCAACCUUUAGCAUCAAGAAGAUGAAUCUUGAUCACACCUGUGGAGCAAGUGGAGAGAACACAAAGGUUACCAUGAAGUGGGUUGCAAAGGCUGUUGAGGAUACUGGUCUGCUCAAUGCAAUAGAGGAUGUAUUUCCUGAUUCCCCUCAAAGAUUUUGUUUAAGACACAUAUAUGCCAACUUCCAAUCAGCUGGGUUUAGAGGGGAUGAAUUGAAAAAACAUCUAGACCAGACUGCUUAUUCUUUCACUAAGCAUGGGCAUGAUCUGGGCAUGGAAGCAUUGAAGAAAGAGAGUGAGGAGGCAUGGAAGUGGUUGUCCAACAUGCCAGUCCAUACUUGGGCCAGACAUAGGAUGGAUACUAUAUGCAAGACAGACCUUGUUGUAAACAAUCUUAGUGAAGUUUUCAACAGGAUGAUUCUGGAUGUUAGGAACAAGCCCAUAAGGACAAUGCUUGAAGGAAUAAGGACAAAACUAAUGAUCAAGUUUCAGAAGAUUAGGGAGAAGAUAGAGACAUGUAGGUGGGAUAUCACACCCACAUACUCUGAGAUAUUGGGGGAGGCCAAGAAGUGGGCAAAAUAUUGUGAUGCAUAUAUGGCUGGACCAGGCAUUUGGCAAGUUACAAGUAGUUCAGAAAAGACCUACUGUGUAAACUUGAACAACUACACUUGUGACUGCAGGAGGUGGGAUAUGAUAGUUGUUCCAUGUAGUCAUGUUGUAGCAGCAAUGCAGAAGGUGAAGCUACACCCUGAAGAUUUUGUCCAUGAGUUCUUCAAGAAGCCCCUCUACUGUGAAACCUACAAGCAUAUUAUAUACCCUGUUCCUGGCCCAGAUUAUUGGCCACACACCAUGGGGGAUGACAUAUCUCCUCCAGUAUUCAAAAAAAAGAAGGGUAAAAAGCAGACAGCUAGGAAAGGACAUUUUGAGGAGAAUAGGUCAGUCUACUCUUCAUCUACCAGAGCUAGUACAGAAGUGGUUGCACCCCCACCACCACCAUCAGCACUAGACACAACUAGGAAGAGGCUAGCAACAGCCACAGCUACUCCAGGACCAGCAAAGAGGAACAAGGCUGCUGCUUCUGCUACUCCAGGACCAUCAAAGAGGACCAAACCUGUUGCUUCUGCUACUCCAGCACCUGCCACACCAGCACCUGCCAAGAAGACCAAAGCAACCAAGAAGACAAGGGCUCCUAGCACAUCUUCACCAGCCAAGAACACAAGGUCAUCCAUUGCCUCUCCAACAAAGAACACCAGAGCAUCAACAGCUAGCAGAGGAGGGGGGUACAUAGUUUUCAAUGCUCCAAGGCAAGUUGCUCACUCUGAGAUGGAGAUUGGGUCCAAGAGGGUUAGGAAGCCAACUGGAAAGUGGAAGGCAUAUUUCACUGCUAGUGGAACAAGAACUGUGAACUCAUCUGGGUUGCACUUCUCCAAGAUCUUGUCUGCCAGCCGCCUCUUGAACUCCAGCUCCCACUCCAGCUCCACUCUGCGAGCCCUUUGCCUCCUCACAUCCACUGCCUGCACUGCCUCCCCUUCCUCAUCUGUCACCUCCCCAAGCUCUGGAUCCAUCUAG
rnacentral:rRNA from 1 species